rnacentral:tRNA from 1 species
AUUUAAAUAGUUUAUAUUAAAAUAUGAUAUUGAAAAUAUUAAGAUAAUGUUUUAUUUUUAAAUA